rnacentral:piRNA from 1 species
UGAAUGGGAAAAAAAAGGAAAGGAUCA